rnacentral:rRNA from 1 species
CCCGUNACAUCAUGAAAGCCGUUUGGUACCCGAAGUCACCGUGCUAACUCGCAAGAGAGGCAGGUGCCGAAAGGUUAUGGAUGGUGAUUGGGAUG